UUGAUUUAAUUAGUUUGUCUGCAUCGCGCUGAUCGGUUGCCUAUUUGUUCAUAUUAUGUUAUUUACUAUGAUUCGUUUUUGUCUUUAUACUAGAACUGUUUGAAUUUAAAGCACAAACAGUAAAACAUUAAGGGUAUACAUGGUACACAGCGGUAAACAUGAGGUUAAAAAUACGCGAAGUAACAUUCAAACCGGGCUGUUAAAAGAAUCAAUUCGAUGUUUAAGUUUUUAAAACAAAACUUUAAAGAAGCCAAGAUGAGAAGUUCUUUGCUUAAAACAAACAAAGCAACAGUAACUUGUGUGUUGGAAAUGUUAGCAGCUAGCAAGUGUCUCUCUGCUAUUUUAAAUGAUAAACAGACGAUCUUUUGUUGUUUAAAAGCUCAUUGCUUUAGUUCUGGUAGAUGCGGCUUAUUUUUCAAGACGGUUUUAAUAGCUUUAUAUUGAUUUGUAACAAAGCCAGCUUCACUUUGAGAGAACCUAGAUGCUAAUUGUAAAGAAGCUUGGAGUCAUAAUAUAUUUUAACGUAAUAUGUUUGCUGUUCUUCAUCUCUUUAAAUAUGAAGUCUAUCCAUGUUUGUGUUUACAGAGGUCAUGUACACUGUGGUCAACUUGUGGACGCUGAAGAGGUUUCUGGGUAAAGAUGAUAGAAAUAAUGAAGUAACAGUGGAAGCUAAAACAUCAGAUCCAGACACUGAAGAAAUUGAUGUCACUGCAAUCUGGCCAAAAUGAUAGAAAUAUAAUGAAGUAACAGUGGAAGCUAAAACAUCAAACUGAUCCAGACACUGAAGAAAUUGAUGUCACUGCAAUCUGGCCAAAAUGAUACAACUAUAUUGAAGUAGCCUACUGUAAUGAAGCUGCAGAACGUCACAGAGACUCUGAGGACAUCAACACAGAAUAUCAAGGCUCCCAAGAGAUGUCUGUCCAGAUGAGGGUGCAUCAACGUUACCUUUGCUGACAAGUAUAUGCUUUACAAUGUAAAACCUAACAGUUAACUUAACUCAAACCAUUUAAGGAAAUUGGUUGCCUUAAAUCAUUAAGUUUUAAAAAAACAUACAUUUGAGUACUGUGAACUUAAGUCUUGUGCAAUUAUGCACUUAUAUUUAGGUAGUGUGAACUUAAAUAUAAGUGCUUAACUGCAUGUGACUCAAUUUGUUUAAGUUCACAGUACUCAAAUCUAUGUGUUUUAAAACUUGAAUGGUUUAAUGCAACCGGUUUUCUUAAAUGUGAGAAAUUACAGUGUUACAGUGAGAAAUGUUUGAAUAAUUCCAAGACAGAGCUCUGUGAUUGAUUCUACACUGCAAAAAUCACUUUCUAACACUUUUUAUUUUGUUUUCAGUAGAAAAACUAAAAAUUCUUAAAUCAAGAUGUAUUUUCUUGAUGAGCAAAAUUACCUUAGAAAAUAUGUCUAGUUUUUAGACAAAAAUAUACAAUUUAAGAUAAUUUGUGCCUAAACAAGAAAAAAUAUCUAACAAUGGGGUGAGAAAAUUGUGUUUUAAUUAAGUUUUUAAGAAAAAAGAAAACUUAAGAUUUUUUUCUCACACUAUUGGCAGAUAUUUUUGCUUGUUUUAAGCACAAAUUCACUUAAUACACAGACACACACACAUUAUUUAUUUGGUCUAAAACUAGACUUAUUUUCUUGGGUCAUUUUGUUCCUCAAGAAAAAGCAUUUUAAUUUAAAUAAUAUUUCUACAGAAAACAAGACAAAAAUACUAUGUAAGAAAGUCAUUUUUUGCAGUGUAGGACUAAUUUCUUUAGAUUAUUUAGAUAUUUACUACAUUACAGUGGCAGCUGGUGACUUCUUUUUUUUGUGAGCACUCAAUGCGAAGUUUGUCACAACAUGUAUAUAGCCCGUCAUUUGUGUGGUUCCCAAUUUCAAAAUAUGUGUUCUGUGUGUCGAGUGCGUGUAUGUGCAUCACGUGUUUUGACUAAACACGUGAUGCACGUGGUUUACAUGAAGCAACAAACACAUAUUUUAAAAACACAAGCAACACGCAUGACACUCUGAACACUUAUUUUGAAUUUGCAACCCUCGGAUGAGCAGUCACGAGCAGCCACUGCUACAUUACAUUGUACUGCUUUGAAUGUAGUUUUCAUUGUUGCUUUUAUUUUGUUUUAUUUUACUCUAAUAUUGCUUUCUCUGUCUGUAUAUUUAUGAGUUUAAAUGGUAUUGUUUAUGUAUGCAACUUUUAAUAUUUGUGUAUUAUAUUAUUUUGUGAUUGUGACAAUUGUGGAUUGUUCAGUUUUUUAUUAAAUAAACAUUUCAAACUCAA